GACGAACGCUGGCGGCGCGCUUAACACAUGCAAGUCGAGCGAGAACCGGGCCUUCGGGCCUGGGGACAGCGGCGAACGGGUGAGUAACACGUGGGUAACCUGCCCUCGACACCGGGAUAGCUCGGGGAAACCCGGAUUAAUACCGGACAGCCUCCGGAGCCUUCGGGCGCCGGAGAAAAGGUGGCUUCGGCUUCCGGUCGAGGAUGGGCCUGCGGCGGAUUAGCUUGUUGGCGGGGUAACGGCCCACCAAGGCAACGAUCCGUAGCUGGUCUGAGGGGACGAUCAGGCACACUGGGACGGCGACACGGCCCAGACUCCUACGGGAGGCAGCAGGGGGGAAUCUUGCGCAAUGGGCGAAAGCCUGAAGCAGCGACGCCGCGUGCGGGAAGAAGGCCUUCGGGUUGUAAACCGCUUUCAGGAGGGACGAAGCCACUCGGGUUAAUAGCCCAGAGGGUGACGGUACCUCCAGAAGAAGCCCCGGCUAACUACGUGCCAGCCGCCGCCGUAACAC
rnacentral:rRNA from 1 species